AUUUUCAUUUAGUUGUGGCUCAGUCAUGAAACUCUUCUUCUAUUUGUCCGUUUUUGCUCUCUCUUUUGGCUUGAUUCAGAGCCUUGUGGAUUUACAGCUUCCUCCUGUGGAUGGGUGCAAGGCCAAAUGUCAGCCCGAAAGAUGUGAAUUUAUUUACCAAUCACCUGGGGACUGCACAGAAGGAUUUUGCUGUCGCUAUAAGCCUGAGGAGUAAUAAAUAUCAAUAAUUGGUAGGGUUUCUACCUCAUUGUUCCAUUUUGAAUAUACACGAGUAAGUUGUUAUAGAUAAUUUCAAUAAAGAUUUCUAAAUUCUAUAA